UACGUAGGGUGCGAGCGUUAAUCGGAAUUACUGGGCGUAAAGCGUGCGCAGGCGGUUAUAUAAGACAGAUGUGAAAUCCCCGGGCUCAACCUGGGAACUGCAUUUGUGAUUGUAUAGCUAGAGUACGGCAGAGGGGGAUGGAAUUCCGCGUGUAGCAGUGAAAUGCGUAGAUAUGCGGAGGAACACCGAUGGCGAAGGCAAUCCCCUGGGCCUGUACUGACGCUCAUGCACGAAAGCGUGGGGAGCAAACAGG
rnacentral:rRNA from 1 species